GUGGCCCUGGCCGAAGGUUUCCUCCUGAGUCAGGCAGAGGAGAGGAAGCAGGAAAAUGAUCUGUCUGCAGAAACGGGUCCUGAUUCCUCUGAGGCAGAGAGGACUUUGUUGGACACCAGAGAGAGGCUGCUGGGUGAAAGAAGGAUGCCGGCAAGACCUCCUCCUCCAUCUCUUCAUCCUGGUGGAGG